CUUCAUUCAUCUUCAACACCAAUUUACAGUUAAUUGCAUUUUUCGUUAAUCAGAAGAUUUUUUACAACGAAAAGCUAUGAUUAAUGGUUGUGUUGUUAAAUUCUUUUUGUAAAUCAAAAUACCUUUAUAUUAAGGUGUUGUGCGGAUGAUUAUUAAGCAUUUUUUAAGCAAAUCGGUUAAGGUCAAGGAAAGAUGGAUUAUUAUUUUUCCGGUCAUCUCAAAUCACAAAGGAUAUUAAAAUACAUGAACUGUAUAUUAUUUGAUAAAAUCCUUUACAAUAACUGCUUUGUAUUGCCUUUAGUUUAACUUUUUCUCCUUUUUUAUAUCUACAAUAUGUAUAUUUUCAUUGUGUAUAUUAGUUCAUUGUGUCUUGGUGUAUUUCUGAAAUAUUAUUUUGUGACAAUACAUUCAUCACAUUUAGAUGUUAAUUAAUUUUUGUAUACUGUACAAUGUUUACUCUUUUUGUCGGUGUUAAAACAUCGACAUGUAUAGUUUGUUUUACUAAAUUUUGAUUAACGAUUUUAAUAAAUUGAUAUUUGAA
rnacentral:sRNA from 1 species